rnacentral:lncRNA from 1 species
UUCAUUGUUGCACACAGAGGCCUCUCUCAUACACACCCAAAAUUAGAUGAGCCAAAAAACCUGUCCAUCUUCUCCAUUAUAAAAAAAAAUGUUUUCAAUUUCUAAUUACAAACUUUUUCUAAUUCUUAAUUUUAGAGGAAGCUGCGGCACAUACACAAAGAGAAAGCAUCAAUCGUCCAAACUCGUUACUCUUUUAGCCAUUGAUACCACCUAAAAACCCACAAUUUUGGUUCAAAACUCCAGCUGAAAUCCACCAUCUUAAAGCACCCGAAAAUAUCCCAAUUUUAGCUUCAAAAUAGUCCGAAAAUGGACGCUAAAACUCAGCAAGAGACACCGAUAGAAUAG